GUCUUCUGUAAAGCCCCGUCUUCCUAGUCACCGACACGAAAGGGCUCCGUUAGAAACGCACCUUGAAUUCAAGCUGUCCUUUGAUGGGGGAGCACAGGAAUUGACCCGGCUCUCUCUGGCGAGGCAAACCGCAAGACAUCUGCUUCUCCAGGGGCACUGAAGGCGAAAGCGCGCGGGUCCCGGCGCACCCUGGGAGCCCGCGCCCGGCACCUGCCAGAGCCAGCUCGCCGUCGCUGCUGGCGCCAUCCUGAGACCCCCCGAGACGCGGGGCGGCGUGAAGGAACGGGCAGCGCUCCCGCUCCAGCGCCGCCGCGGCAUCCCGCGACUCGCGAGGGGCUGACGGAUCGCCGGGCGGCCUCGAGUCAGCUCUGGGCCUCGCUGCUGCAGCGGCCCAAGGCCUCUCUUGGGAAAGCCAAACCCAGACGGACCCGGGCUCACGAGAGGGUCUGCCCCUGGGCUUGCCCAACCUGGCCAUAGCCACGUAGCUAACCCUCCGACCCGGUGUUCGGCCUCCACUGGCAUCUGCCCUUUCCCGGCGACUCGGUGCCCGGCACGCUGGUGGCUGGAGGGGCGCCCGCUGCGGCCUCCAGCGGAAUGAAGCAGAGCGAGGGGCGCAGACACAGGGAGAGCGCCAUUGGGCCCCACACGCCCUUCUCACCCGCUCCCUGACCUCAAGGAAGAACCGACCAGGCUAGGCCGGCCUCGGGGGCCUGAGGCUGUCCGGCUGGGCCCAACUCUGGAGGUGGCUCGGCCGGGGGAUUGGCCGGCUGGAGGCAAGGGGUAGACCUCAGGCUCCCCAGCCCCGGGGAGGCUCCCGCGCCACCCGCGCGCCUCGCGACGCGCCUCUUGCCGCUCUCAGGCUUAAGGAGAGCACAGCCGGGGCAGGGAUCCAUUCCUGACAGGGCGUCAAAUGCUGGGGUGGGGUGAGAGGUAAGUCGUGGGGAGUGGGACAGCCCUUCCGAAUGCGGUCCCCUGAGAAACCUCUCGUUUCUCCCGCAGGGACAAGGUCCAAGGCCUUGGAAUCUGAGUGGAGCAGCACCGGACUGCCCGCGAACUCCCUGCGCUGGGGUCAGAACUAGCGUCUUUGCCCUACCCUGCGGAAGUCAGAGCCGCCCUGAGCCGCGUCGUGAGUCGGAAAAUGCGUCUUAGAAAAACCCUCCAGGAGAGGAGCCGCUGGGGGACCACAGCGUGGGCAAAGGGGCCGGGGUUAAAGCGAAAGGAACCCAGCGGCCGGCAGGGUCACUCGCGGCUGUGCACUCACACCUGGGAGCAGCCUCCGGAGUGACCGCCCCCCGCGCCCGCGCACGCAGUGCUCGGUCGGUGCCUCCAGGGGGCGCUGCGGCUCUUCCCGCGGGCCGCUGAGCUCCCGCCCGCGGCUGCGCUUUCUCUUCCUAGCCCAUCCCUGUGUAGAGCGUCGACUCCAACAUACUUUUUCAAAAGACAAAAUUCUUAGUCUUUUGGCCCCUGCCUCAGCACUGUCAGUUCUGAGCCCAGUGCCCGCGAUCCUCCCCUAGGUUUUCGUGGGCUUCCUCGCUACUCCUGGACUGGAGUGCACGCGCCCAGAGAAUAGCUGGGCUCCCGACUCCUCCGGGCUCCAGCGAAGCCGCAAACAGUGCGGGAAGUUCAAAUGCAAAAUGUCCCCGUCCUGCAGAAGCAGGGGAAAGCUGGGGAGAAGGGACUCGAGUCCUCAGAGAUCUUCAUCCGGUCCUCCAGGGUAAUAAACUUUCGGCGGUUCGAGUUUGGGUAGCAACUGCUCGCGCGCCCUCGUCAGUGUGUUAGCCAUUUCCCUGGAAGCGUCCUUGGUGUCGAAAGCCCAGAGCCGCGAGGAAGCAGAUGACCGAGUCGGCGGAAAUGUCCGAGUGAACCAGCAGCGCAGCUCUCGGAUGGCGCACUGGGAGUGGGACAGCUGAGCACAGACUCAGUGCCCUGAGCGCAGCUGGGUCCUGUAGGCUCUGGGACUUCCCUCUCCUCACACCCAGACCCCGCAACUCGCCGUGGGCCCAGUGGCCUGUCUUCCAUGCCGGCCGUUGGCGCCCGGGGUGUCCGACCGACUGUGCUGUUCCUAGGUGGGCCCCCACAAUGCGUGCGCUCUAGACGCCAGCGUAGGCAAGGGAAGUUUCCUGGGCUGAGGGUGGAGAAACUCAACGGUCCCUCCCGGGCGGGCGCUGAGGCGCCGUGAGAGCACUGCAUGCAACGCCGCGCCGCGCUCAGCCUGGGUCUCCCUUUGGCCGUGGGGCACGCACCUGCCCUCUGCAGCAGCCAGGCUUGGACUCUGCCGAGGGGCUGCCCGGCCACGCGGCUUCCCCCAAAGCCUGGAGCUCGCCGACUCUUCCCUACCUUUCAAAGACCGCAGCGCUCGGGCCAGCGUGGCCCAGACUCCACUGUGGAACUUCGGAGGCUGGGGUGGGCGAAGUAAACACGUUUAUGGAAAAACCUGGGCUCAGGAGGUUUGCGGAAAGAGGGCUCAGCUCGUAGGUGGUUGGAAAUUCCGUCCACCCUGCGAGAAAAGCAGGCGGUUCCGCACACAACAUAUAUACACACGCGCACACACAGGGUGGGAAGGUGUGAAGCCCGCCGCUCGGGAGUUGCCCCCACUUUGAUGAAAAGGAAAUACGAAGCGUAGGAACAACUCUUCAGGUCACCACCCCGGGACUGUGUGUCCUGGAGGUCUGAAAGAAGAGAAAGUUCCCUCCAAAUCUUCCAAAUUGAGAAAAGCUGCGGAAGGAAUGAGGCGGUUAGAGAGAGGGGACCGCAAGCAUCCCCGUAGCUGGGGCUCAGGACUGAGCGCUAAAAUGAAACCACCCCUGUAGAUCCCACUAGGGAAAAUGUCUUUUUAAAACCCUUGAACUCUUAGGCAUUCUGCUACUUCCAUGCUUGUCAAAUCUGCUUUGAAGCAGUUAAAUAAUGAAGGAUAUUAAACACUGGUCUCCGUUCCAAACUCACUCUUUAAUCUUUGCGAAUUUGAAAUUAGAAGGAAAGGAAAAGAUCUGCUAUCCCUGAAUUAUGUUUUACCAAAGGAACGAAAAAUUCUAUACACUUCAGCAUAAAUCAAAUAGAAGGAAUUUUAUCUUAAUAAAAUAAUAUCUCGUAGCUUCUACCUGGCUCCCCAAUCACUGGUUAAUAACCUUUUGACAGUUUUUAGCCUUCUGCUUAUAUUUGUCCACUUAUAUUUGUUCACGAUGGAGAUUAUUUUAAUUGUCCUUCGGGGCGGCACAUCCAAAGCCACCUUUUGGCGGAAUACUUUUGAAUUAUACAGCCUCUUGGCUGCAAGAUCUGCGCCCCUCAAAGGGAGGACUUGCUGGGGGGGGGCGGAGGGCCAAGCCAAAUCCCCUCUGGCGUCUCGUCUGGGACGAAGGGCGUUUUGCUCAGGGUUGCUCAAGAAUAUGUCUUCUAGGAAAAGGCUGUUUAAAAUGAGCGUGUGUUAUUCCUUUCUGUCACUCGGUCACCCUACUUCCAGAGUAGCUGAAGUGCGUUCU
rnacentral:lncRNA from 1 species